GACUCUAUGGCCCAAUGGAUAAGGCGCUGGUCUACAAAACCAGAGAUUCUGGGUUCGAUCCCCAGGACCUCAGCGGAGUCG